rfam:Rhizobium sp. Root483D2 contig_22, whole genome shotgun sequence.
ACCUGAUACCGGGCCCCUCUGGCGAGAAUUUACGGCGCUCUCGUGAUGUCGGUAUUACCCC